rnacentral:tRNA from 1 species
GCCGAGGUGGUGGAAUGGUAUACACGACGGACUUAAAAUCCGUUGCACCUAGUGCAUGCGGGUUCGACUCCCGCCCUCGGCACCA